GAAAUGCGAUACUUGGUGUGAAUUGCAGAAUCCCGUGAACCAUCGAAUCUUUGAACGCAUAUUGCGCUCGACUCCUCGGAGAAGAGCAUGUCUGCCUCAGCGUCGGUUUACACCCUCACCCCUCUUCCUUUUCAAGGAAGCUUGUCGUGCUUGCUCAAGCCGGCAUCAGGGGUGGAUCUGGCCCUCCCAAUCGGAUUCACUUUCGGUUGGGUUGGCUGAAGCACAGAGGCUUAAACUGGGACCCAAUUCGGGCUCAACUGGAUAGGUAGCAACACCCUCGGGUGCCUACACGAAGUUGUGUCUGAGGACCUGGUUAGGAGCCAAGCAGGAAACGCGUCUCUGGCGCGUAUCUCUGUAUUCGACCUGAGCUCAGGCAAGGCUACCCGCUGAACUUAA
rnacentral:misc_RNA from 1 species